rnacentral:siRNA from 1 species
UCUGGAACCGGUAUGAAUGGA